AGUUUGAUCAUGGCUCAGAAUCAACGCUGGCGGCGUGCCUCAGACAUGCAAGUCGAAACGAUUAAAGCUCUCUUCGGAGAGUGUAUAGAGUGGCGCACGGGUGAGUAACACGUAAGUAAUCUACCCUCGGAAGUGGGGAAUAACAACCGGAAACGGUUGCUAAUACCGCAUAAUGCAGCGGCACCGCAAGGUGACAGUUGUUAAAGAUUUAUCGCUUGAGGAGGAGCUUGCGGCAGAUUAGCUAGUUGGUAGGGUAACGGCUUACCAAGGCUACGAUCUGUAACCGGUCUAAGAGGACGGUCGGUCACACUGACACUGAAUAACGGGUCAGACUCCUACGGGAGGCAGCAGUCGGGAAUUUUGGGCAAUGGGCGAAAGCCUGACCCAGCAACGCCGCGUGAAGGAUGAAGUAUUUCGGUAUGUAAACUUCGAAAGAAUAAGGAAGAAUUAAUGACGGUACUAUUUAUAAGGUCCGGCUAACUACGUG
rnacentral:rRNA from 1 species